rnacentral:lncRNA from 1 species
GGGCCCCGGGCGGCGUUGACCAUGACCCAGCAGGGCGCGGCGCUGCAGAACUACAACAACGAGCUGGUCAAGUAUCCUGGAGAGCUCCCAGACUUUGCUCAGCGUUCUCAAGAGGGAAGCUGGGAACCUGACCAAGGCUACAGCCCCAGACCAGAAAAGUAGCGGCGGCAGGGACAGCUGACCAGACCACGGGCAGGGCCUGCCUCCGUGUGCCCCUCAGCUCAGCCCCAGCAAGUGUGUGCUCAGAGCAUCUUUGUUCUUCACGGCAGCAGCUACCUUCCCUCACUGUCUCAGGUGCCGAGAGGGGCAGGUGCCAGCCUCCACUGGCAUCAGUGACAAGCCCAGGGCACAGCCCACCCGGGGGUCCUCGCUUCAUGCUCACACAGGCUAUGGGGAUGGUGGGCUCCAGGUCAGCUCUGCAAGGGGCUUGUCUCUGUGGCACCCACACUCCUGCCCUGCCAGGGAGGCUCUGGUUGUCUGAGCACCAUGGGGGCCCCCUCACCUUGUCCCUCCUCAGCCAGCAGAG